UUUACAAUCGGUCUAGGUCAUGAUCAUUUCUCAAGUUCUUGCGUCAAUCCUACGCAUUUAUCAGGUAACAUAAUGUUGGAAGGUUGGUUGAACAUAGUUGAUUGGAAGUUUUGGAUGAAAAGGGGCCAUGAUCCAAGGGACCAAAUACUCCCAACAUACAAAACAAAACCUUAGACCAUGCGCAGCAGGGGUUUUAGUGAGGUUCAUGGGCUCGAGUUCUAACGUGCCGAUGAAUAAAAGAAAAUAAAAAAUGGGUUCGUUUUGAUGAACCGGACCUUACGAGUGAUAUCGUAUGAAGCGGGUUCAAGCCACGCGUCGUGUGUUGAUUUGUUGAACGAAAGCGCGUAGAGGAGGAGGAAAGUUGGGCUUCCCCGUGUAUCGACUCAUUUGCUCUUCUCGACCAAAAAGCUAGGGUUUCGUUGUGAGAGGCGAUUUCUCGUGCAACGCCGUCUCCCGGAGGUUUUCUCGUUCUAAUCGAUGACAGAGUAUCUUCUCCACUUGCUCAGGUGAGUAUCGAGUAGAUUGAGGGUUGAAUUGGGUCGAUUUUGUGGUCGAAACUCGAAACUGUUUUCUCGGAUUUCAAAUCAAUUUGGGGCUUUCGAGUUUGGGAUGUAAAUCUAUAUGUGGGUUUCGAAUAAUUGCUGUAAAUCGUCAUGGUCGUUUCAUUUAGGGUUCGUUUCUCUGAGAUUUCAAAUCGAUAGAGGGAUUUCGAGUUAGGGUUCUAAAUUGAUUCGGGGGGUUUCGUUUAAUAAUUGUAAAUCCUCAAGAGGGUUCGAUAUAGGGGUCGUUUAUUAUAUUGUUUGGAUUUUAAUGUUCUAAAAUAGAUUCGAUUUGUUUUACAGAUGGAUCCCUCAGAAGAGAGAAAGCAUUCAAAGAGGCAAAAGACUACAUCAACAUGCUUUCAUACACUUGCGAUUCAGAAUACGGGAUUCCGAGAAGGUGUUCCUGUGGUGGGAGAAUCAUCGACGAGGUUCGAGUGAAGCAGGAGUACGACACUCUUCCUGGGAAGCGUUUCUUCACCUGUGCCAACUACGAGGUAAGACUCUGAAGAACAUUUUCAUUCAUUAUGUUUAUAGACAUACGUAUGCUGAUAUUUUUUUGGUUCUAAACAAGGCUGAUGGGUUUCACUAUCGUCAGCCUUGGGUGAUUGGUGUCCAGGAGCAGAUCGAAAGCUUGACUAAGCGUCUAGAGGAGGCUGAGGAGGUGAUGAAGUUUGUACCGAGUCUGAAAAACCAGAUUGAGACACUAGAGGUUAGUAAACAAAUUUUUUUUUUGUCACAUUUUUCUCUACAUAUUUUUUCUAAUAACUUAUUAUGUGAAUAAGACAUUUUCAUUGUUGUUUCCAUGUGCAUGCACAGGCUAAAGGGCUCACUCGGCAGGUUGAUCGCCUCACUGCGGAGGUUUAUAACCUCACGGUGCAAGUAGCUGACCUGGAGAAGCUCUGCUUCGAAUAACCACCAAAGGUCACGGGUUGGAAGGCCAGGGUGUUGCAGGUCACGGGUUGGAAGGUUGCGGGGUGUUGCAGGUGAAGGAUUUUGUUUGUUUCUAUAUGUUAUUUGUGGAUACUUUAAGCCACGGGUAGUAGGACUUUAUGUCAGUUUUUAAUCCCGGAUGUAAACGGAUGUACUAUGUGUAGGAUUUGAUGUCUUUUUCUGUUGAUUCACGGAUGUAAAACAAUGUCUCUCUCUAUAUAAACUAUGUCUUUCAGUUUGGUUAUAAAAUGUGCAUCACUUCUCUUCUCUAUGUCUGUCUCUUAUUAUUACAACUGAGAAAAACACACAAAGAAACUGUCUCACUUCUCUUCUCUUGUCUCUCUCUCGUUAUCACCUCUCUUCUCUUGUCUCUUCUCUUCUCUUGUCUCUCUCUUCUCUUCUCUUGUCAACAAACUGUGGUAACAAUCUGUUCGUGGUGCUCAAACAUCAAACUUGAAGCUUCAAAUUUCUCUCCUAUAGUAGUGAAUUCAACAACAAGCUUCAAGCUCCAAAUCAAGG